GGGAGUGUAGCUUAGUGGUAAAGCACUUGGCUAGCACAAUCAGGGCCCUGGGUUCAAUCCUAGCACCACCA
rnacentral:tRNA from 1 species